GGUCCCUUCCCGGUCGGGGACGAGGGUGACAGGUGGUGCAUGGUGUCGUCAGCUCGUGUCGUGAGAUGUUGGGUUAAGUCCCGCAACGAGCGCAACCCUUGUCUUUAGUUGCCAUCAUUCAGUUGGGCACUCUAAAGAGACUGCCGGUGUCAAACCGGAGGAAGGUGGGGAUGACGUCAAGUCCUCAUGGCCUUUAUGACCAGGGCUACACACGUACUACAAUGGCCGGUACAAAGGGCAGCCACUUAGCGAUAAGGAGCCAAUCCCGUAAAGCCGGUCUCAGUCCGGAUUGGAGUCUGCAACUCGACUCCAUGAAGUUGGAAUCGCUAGUAAUCGCAGAUCAGCACGCUGCGGUGAAUACGUUCCCGGGCCUU
rnacentral:rRNA from 1 species